rnacentral:rRNA from 1 species
AGAGUUUGAUCAUGGCUCAGAGUGAACGCUGGCGGUAGGCCUAACACAUGCAAGUCGAACGGCAGCACAGGAGAGCUUGCUCUCUGGGUGGCGAGUGGCGGACGGGUGAGGAAUACAUCGGAAUCUACUCUGUCGUGGGGGAUAACGUAGGGAAACUUACGCUAAUACCGCAUACGACCUACGGGUGAAAGCAGGGGAUCUUCGGACCUUGCGCGAUUGAAUGAGCCGAUGUCGGAUUAGCUAGUUGGCGGGGUAAAGGCCCACCAAGGCGACGAUCCGUAGCUGGUCUGAGAGGAUGAUCAGCCACACUGGAACUGAGACACGGUCCAGACUCCUACGGGAGGCAGCA